AGCUUUUCUCCCUCCCUCUCUCUUUUCCUUCUCUGUUUUUCCUUCUUCCGCUGCAGCUGCCGCCGGCGAGGGCGGGGGCGGCCAGCAUCCUCGUGGCACAGCCGGAACCCUAGCCGCCGGCCGCCGGCGCCGCCACCUCCCCGAAAAUCCGUCGCCAUCGAUCAUCCUCUCGCACAAUCGAAGAUUGGUGGUUGGGCAUGGAUCUGAUUCUUCCAUUUAAAAAGGGCGAUUUCGCGGAGUCAAAGUCCUUCAUCGAUGGUUACAAAUGUGCUUGGUUUCGCUGUAAGAUUAAUGAUAUGCGUGUCACAGAAACAGGGUCCUUUCAGUAUUUACUGGAGUAUCUUGAUUACCCAGACGAAGAGAAAACAUGGACUGAAGUCUUUGAAAAGAACCCAGCGUAUGGCAAAAGGAACUCAAAUGUGGUUAGAGAAAGAGAAUGCAUGCUUCGUCCUUCCUAUCCUGAGUUGUAUUGGGGGGAUCAAGUUCCCGAGCAAUUUCCAAAGAGUAAUGUGAUAGUAUCUGUUUGUGAUACCCCGAAAGUAGGUGAUCUGGUUGAGUGGUUGUCUGAAGGUUCUUACUGGACUGCGAAAGUUACUAAGUUACUUAGUGAAGAUAUGGUUAAGGUACAGCUGUUGAAACCUCCUAUAGGUGAAGGGGGGAGUUAUACUGCUUACUGCAAGGACAUCAGGCCUGCUCUUGAUUGGUGCCUGGAGAAAGGUUGGACUGUACCUCUUUCACAGGCAAAUGGACGGUGCUGGCAUGCUGCUCGUCUGAUUCAUCAUAAAUCUGACACAGAGAUGAGUGGUUCAGAUGAAGAGUCGACAUCUGAUGACGAUGAAGAGGAAGCGCAGAAAUCCUUGAAAAGAGCAUCAAAUUCGUCUCAAGAAGCUCCAGGCUCAAACCUGGAAAUUACAUCAGAUACAACCUCCAGUUCUAGGAUUAACAGUCAGACAGCUACCAUUGCCACAACCAAGGGGAUUUCGAGAUCCAGCCCGGUAUCCAUUUCCACUGGGCCAUAGUCAUGGUGCACAAGCAGCUGUGACUUGUACAGUUAACCAGGUACCCGCAGUUCCAGCAGACAAUUAGGGAUAUAGGUGAUAGACAUGUCCAAUAGCACAAAUGUUUCAGAGCUGGAUAGGAUCUCAAACAGUACUAUAGCCGCUGAGUCUCUUCCAAAGAUCUGAACUGGCUACCCCCUCAACCAUUUGUGGAGAAGGAUCCAUCACGAGACACAACACUAUAUAAAUAUAAGAAAUAUAAUGAUGUUGGAGUCUUGGAGAUACAUCAGCAUUCAGCCAGUACUUCAUCCCAUGAAAUGGAUAUAUGCUUUACACGUUGUUGUUUUCAUGACUGAAGUGCUACGUUGGCAGGCUGCAAUGUUUGCAGCGUUGCCGCUACUUUUAGGGACAGUUCAUUUGACUGAUCAAUGAGAUUUAUACAGCUCUGAAAUUUCAGACA